AUAACAAUACAGGACUCUUUAGAGGCCUUGUAAUUGUAAUGAGUCCACUUGAAAUCCUUUUGCUCUGAUCAAUUGGAGGGCAAGUCUGUUGCAGAGCGACUGACCCGUGCUGCAGCUGAAA
rnacentral:rRNA from 1 species